CGCGCAGGUGGGUUGGCAAGUCAGAGGUGAAAUCCUACAGCUUAACUGUAGAACUGCCUUUGAUACUGCUGAUCUUGAGUAAAAGAAGAGAGAGAUGGAAUUCCAGGUGUAGUGGUGAAAUACGUAGAUAUCUGGAAGAACACCAGUGGCGUAGGCGGUCUCUUGGUCUUAUACUGACGCUAAGGCGACGAAAGCGGUGGGGAGACAAACA
rnacentral:rRNA from 1 species